rnacentral:rRNA from 1 species
GAUGAACGCUGGCGGCGUGCCUAAUACAUGCAAGUCGAGCGAACAGAUAAGGAGCUUGCCCCUUUGAUGUUAGCGGCGGACGGGUGAGUAACACGUGGGUAACCUACCUAAAAGACUGGAAUAACUCCGGGAAACCGGGGCUAAUGCCGGAUAACAUUUAGAACCGCAUGGUUCUAAAGUGAAAGAUGGUUUUGCUAUCACUUAUAGAUGGACCCGCGCCGUAUUAGCUAGUUGGUAAGGUAAUGGCUUACCAAGGCAACGAUACGUAGCCGACCUGGGAGGGUGAUCGGCCACACGGGAACUGAGACACGGUCCAGACUCCUACGGGAGGCAGCAGUAGGGAAUCUUCCGCAAUGGGCGAAAGCCUGACGGAGCAACGCCGCGUGAGUGAUGAAGGGUUUCGGCUCGUAAAACUCUGUUAUUAGGGAAGAACAAACGUGUAAGUAACUGUGCACGUCUUGACGGUACCUAAUCAGAAAGCCACGGCUAACUACGUGCCAGCCGCCGCCGUAA